rnacentral:rRNA from 1 species
AUGGUCUCUCGCCUGCUGAAUGUGAGCGUCCUGGAGACAACGAAGCCGAUCACGGUGGGGUACCGCGUGAAGCUGUCCUCUGGAGAGGCUGUGGACGUGGAGGCCAGCCAGAUGAUUAGGUGGGAGAGGGAGAGCUCAAAGCUGUAUGUUCAGCAAAGCAAUGGUGCUGGUGCUGCAGCUGGUUACAAAGAGAAGAUCGAGUUUGCGAAAAACUUUGCUGACGAGGUAGCCCGAGGACUGCUCUUCGAGACGCCGGACCGCAUCCCUUCGCUUGCUGAACUCGUGAAGGUCGGCAGCCUGGUGGACUUCUAG